CACCCUCUCACCCCACGAACCCCUAGCUCCAGAUCCGCACCCCGCCGCUCUCACCCUCGUCUCCCACAUCGCCGCCGCCACCCACGCCGAUCCCAUCCCUCCCCUUGUCUCCCUCCCAAACCUUGCCGCCGGCGGCCUCUCCCCCUCCUCUCCUCUCCCCCACCUCAGGCGGAGCCCCCCACCUAUCCAUCUCUCUCCAGCGACCCCUCUCUCUCCCCUGGGACUCAUCUUCGCCGCUAGGGUUUGCGGUGGCUUUGCCCCACGCUCGCCACGUCUCUCCGGCAACCAGGACACAACGACGUCGACGGGAUCUGAUGGGUGUGUUGCUCCGGCGCUGUUCCGGUGAUCCGAACGACGCCUUCGCGCGCGGGACGGGUGGGUUCCAGCGCGGCCGCGUGGUGCACGGCAUGCUCGUCGCCUCCCUCUUCCCCGCCCUCAUCACCUCCCACGCCCCUGGUGCCAUGUACGCGAGCCAGUCCCUCAAGUUCGCGGCGCCCGUGCACGUCAGAGACGAGGUGGUCGCGCAGGUGCAGGCGCUGCACAUCAAGGCAACCGGCGCAAGGCACAUGUACUACUACCACUACUACAUAGCGCCAUUUUUUAUCUCCUCUUCUUUCUAGCAUUGUGCCUGCUGAGAACUAAUAGUGAUGCUACAUCUGUUGGGCAACGUCAAGUUCGCCACCAAGUGCUUGACGGACGAUGAGGAGACUCUCGCCAUUGAUGGCGAGGCCAUGGCUUUUUCUGCCCACGCUGCAGCUCAGCGCAGAGGCAAUCGAGUGACAAACUCGCGGUGAAGAAGAGAAAGCCGAGAAGGACUCCAACAAGCUUAGGUGCCCCUGAGUGCCUUCUUAGUCUUCAUGGACAGCUUCAGGAAGGACUCCAACAUCAAGCAGGUCUCCAUGGUUGGCAAGGCCGGUGGUGAGAAGUGGAAGUGUCUUGAGUGAUGCUAAGGAGAAGUCUCCCUAUGUUGCGAAGGUUGAGAUGCUCAAGGCCGAGUACACCAAGAAGAUCGAUGCUUACAACUACCCAUAGGCAGGAGAAGCGUCGAGCAAAUCUGACAAGUCCAAGUCUGAGGUGAGCGACAAGGACGAUGUCAACGAGGGUGGCUAAUGAUGCGGCACACCAAGCAGAAAUGGGGGAAGGGGGUCUUUGGAAUGUCGCUGUUGCCGCUUAUUGCUGAAGUCACCAAUUUAUGAUGGAUGGUCAUUGUUAGUUUAGCUCCUUGGUAGUCCCUCUUUCAAGCGGCUGUAGCUGGUAGAAAUGGUAGCUACUAUGUCCCAUGCAGUUCAUGUUCUCAGACUGCCCUUUGUUGCUUCAUUUUGAUGUCAAUUUAGUCUCCGUUGAGUGUACCUAUUGUGUGCUCGUGGCUGUUUCAAAAGUCCUUCCAUGUUGAAAGAAAUAAAAUGCUCUCAAUACUUGUUCGAA